ACGCUCGACACUACGGGGGCAGCAGUGGGGAAUAUUGCACAAUGGGGGAAACCCUGAUGCAGCGACGCCGCGUGGAGGAAGAAGGUCUUCGGAUUGUAAACUCCUGUUGUUGGGGAAAAAGAGGAUGGUACCCAACAAGGAAGUGACGGCUAACUACGUGCCAGCAGCCGCGGUAAUCUGAGCGGGCUGGCAAGGC
rnacentral:rRNA from 1 species